AUAGAGACAUAGCCUUAUGGGGACAUGGCCGUAUGGGGACAUGGUGCUUAUAGAGAGACAUGGCCUUAUGGGGACAUGCCCUUAUGGGGACAUGGUGCUUAUAGAGAGACAUAGCCUUAUGGGGACAUGGUGCUUAUAGAGAGAUAUAGCCUUAUGGGGACAUGGCCUUAUGGGGACAUGGUGCUUAUAGAGAGACAUAGCCUUAUGGGGACAUGGCCUUUUGGGGACAUGGUGCUUAUAGAGACAUAGCCUUAUGGGGACAUGGCCUUAUGGGGACAUGGUGCUUAUAGAGAAACAUAGCCUUAUGGGGACAUGGCCUUUUGGGGACAUGGUGCUUAUAGAGACAUAGCCUUAUGGGGACAUGGCCUUAUGGGGACAUGGUGCUUAUAGAGAGACAUAGCCUUAUGGGGACAUGGCCUUAUGGGGACAUGGUGCUUAUAGAGAAACAUAGCCUUAUGGGGACAUGGUGCUUAGCACUCCCUCUUAAGGCCUAAUAACACAGUGCAGAAAUACAAUAUGGUGCUUUACAGUAGAUUGAGGUUGGAAAAGGGAUAAGACUGCAGACAAUCAUCUUUGAAGAGGACCGACAGUCAUCAGACCACAUUAUGGGAAUUACGCCACAUUAUGGUCUUCAUCAGAAUUUGACCAUGUGUGUCUUUUAUAGAGGAGAGAUUUGAUUCUAAGGACAUUGUGCAAGUUUUUUUCAACAAAAAAAAACCCAAUGUUGUGCCAAGAUUGACAAUUCAUGUUGGCGUUCUUUCUUUGGGUUUUGUAGUCAGAGUCAUGAUUGGAUGUUAUUGAUACAUGCUGACUGAUAACUUUUGAAGUGAAAGCCAUAUAACACUCAAUCCACAAAAACUGCAGGGGCCAUACUUAUGAUUUAGCAUGUUAGCAGCUAACAAGGAUGGAUUUUAACCUGAAGGGACCCAUACUUAUGAUUUAGCAUGUUAGCGGCUAACUAGCACAGGUUUAAACCUGAAAGACCCAUACUUCUGAUUUAGCAUGUUAGCGGCUAACUAGCACAGGUUUAAACCUGAAAGACCCAUACUUCUGAUUUAGCAUGUUAGCGGCUAACUAGCACAGGUUUAAACCUGCAGGUAACAUCUUUAGCAGCUUUUCGCAUUUCCAAUUAGAAAACAUGUCUUACUUGGGAACUCUAACUGGCUCUUAAUCAAAACAAAGGAACAGUUCACUCUUUAUUUAUGUCAAAUGAACACAUGGUCAAAUUAAAGAAACGCUUCAAGAGGAAGUUGUAGUUUUCUACCAGCUCUGAUACUGUACCUAUAAAUAGAUCAAACUAAUACUUUUAACCUUAACAGUGUUCCUCACAAACUAAACCAGGGUCGUAUUCAUUAGUGCACAUCGUAGGAAAAACAUUUAACAAGGGAAAAAUGAAAAUGAGUUUCUUAUUGGACAGAUUCAAGUAGUCCCUCCCUGUUUCAGUCCAUUUUCAUCCAUUGGGUGACUAACACAACCCAGUUCCCUCUCCUCCCUCUAUUCUUCCAAUAUAAUGUGCUUCCUUCUUGUUCACAUGGCUGAUAUUGGUUUGUUCUGAGUAUUUAUAUAAUCUCCCUGUUUUUAUUUUUUAUCCUGUUUGUACAUAUGAAUAUUAAACAGCCUUGUCAUUUUCCAAUACAUAUUUGAUCAAUAAUUUUAAAUGCAAUUUUUAAUAAAAUUAUAAUAAAAUAAAAAUCUUGUUGUGAUAUUAUUCAGUGACAGAACAGAAGAGAGGUACUUGUUACCAGAGUAAUCAUAGGCAAAAACUUCAAAUUUGUAUAUAUUUGUGUGCAGCUAUAUUAGAUUCUAGUAACGUAUCAGUUUUGUCAUGGACUGGACAGCUGUCUCUAUACCAUCGUUCCUGUUCUAUACCAAACAUUACAUACAACACACACAACUAAGAGAAAAAAAUGCAAAAUUCCCAAGUUAACACAGUUGGAAGAUUCUGGGAAUAUUUUUUAUUUAAUUUUUUUUAACUAGGCAAGUCAGUUAAGAACAAAUUCUUAUUUACAGUGACGGCCUAAACCGGGCCAAACCCGGACGACGCCGGGCCAAUUGUGCUUCGCCCUAUGGGACUCCCACUCACGGCCGGGUUAUGAUACAGCCUGGAUUCUGACUCCUCAAGCACCGAGAUGCUGCGCCACUCAGGUGCCCCAAUCAUGAGGGAACAAGAACAUCCUCCAAACAGGAUCUCCAAAACAACUGGGACAGGAAGAAAAAUCAUUACAUUUCUCUACAACGAAAAUGUUGUAAAAAUCAGAGAGAAUCAAAACGUCCUCUCCCCUCCUCCGGGUCUCUCAAUUCACAGGUUGUAAAAUCUCUCAAAAUCAUGGACAGAAACAAAAUAUUUUACAGCAGUUUUAAUGAGAACAGACUUUCAUAUGCAAACCAGUGACCGUUACGGUCUGAGAAAAUAGCUCAUUUGAACUUGUAAUUUACAUGGAUAUUUUGAUGGAUUUGUGGAACAAAAAAAAAUGGGUUGCUUUUUGUAUGAACAUAACAUAUUGUACUGUACUACAGCUCUCGGGGAUAGCAUCCCAAAUGGCACCCUAUUCCCUAUAUAGUGCACUACUUUAGACCAGGAACCUAUGGACCCUAAAAGUAGUGCACUAUAUAGGGAAUAGGGCGCCAUUUGGGAUGCUCCCCUACUCUGAGACGUUUCACACCCAGUGUCCACUGAGCACACUGCAGGCCAAACGCAGUGUCCACUGAGCACACUGCAGGCCAAACGCAGUGUCCACUGAGCACACUGCAGGCCAAACGCA
ensembl:lncRNA